GUGCUGACAUCUUGAGAGGAUUGUGUGUGAAGGAGGCCAUCUGGUUACAUCCUGGCUGCAGGAAGUCUGAAAGUGAUCGUAGUCGCGGAAAGGAGAGACUGAUCGCUGCUUUCUAUUUGAUCCUGCUUGUUGGAGAAAGGAUUGCUUCUAGGAAGGCUGCUGUGAGCUGUGUAGUGAAACAAUCAUCUACCUCGACAAGGCCGCAUUUGUGUAAAGGGACUUGUGGCUAUCCCGGUCAAAGCCACCCUCUAAUACAGAAGGGACUCAGAAAGGCCUUCCGGAUUUCUGCAUUUUUAACUUGAAAGUCAAGUCUCCAGCCUACUGCACAUCAACAAGGUCUCUUCCACCAGUCUCAUCCUCCUCCAAGCGGCAAAUUCACACGACUGAUUCUUUUGCCGUACUGGCACGUGGAACGCAUAUAUAAUAAAAACGACAACUUUUGAUCUUUUUAACUCAUUUAUUCAUAGGGACAUUGCAUUUAAAACACAAGAUUUGUUUCAAUAAAAAAUAAAAAAAAUGUUAGAGCUGAUCGGCUUAAACAGAUAUUACAAACCAUUUUGUAUUUGUGGGUACAAUUCAUAGUAAUAUGUACAAAAGCUAUGUAUUACACUACUGUAUGCUUAGAAACAAUUUGAGGUGCCCCCACACCAGACUCCAUACACUCCCCCAUAUCACCAAGGGGAGGCUUUGUUUCUUUCCAUUUGACCAGUGUACAUUAGUUUCUUAACUAAUAAAAAGGGUACUGAACUUUGGAACUGCUGCAGUAAUGUGAGUGCCACUUACACGACUACUUGCUCGGGGUGAUGUUGAUUUAUGUAAAAACUUUACAUUUCCAUUUCUCACCGAUUUGAAGGCAACGCUCAAGGCACAGUAGCUCACGAAAAACUAACAAAUUCCCAUGGGAAUAUCUUUUCGUAUUGUGGGAAAUAUCUGUCUGUAAGUGCUCAUCCCGACAAACUGACGGCAAAAAAAAUAUAUAAAAAGGUUAGUCUUAAAGGGAUUGUCUGGGAGUUUAAGAAAUUAAAAAUGUGUUCCCUCGCUACUACAGUACCUAUGACCUGGUGGCUCUCACCGGUAUAAUUCCUUAUAAGAGUGAUCGUCUGUACAUCCAUGCCACCACCUUAGCCAAUCACUGCUCUCUAGAUUAACCGGCAAAGUAAAA